UACGUAGGCAGCAAGCGUUGUUCGGAGUUACUGGGCGUAAAGGGUGCGUAGGCGGCCCUGUAAGUCUGGUGUGAAAUCUCCCGGCUUAACUGGGAGGGUGCGCUAUAGACUGCGGGGCUCGAGUGUGGGAGAGGAAAGUGGAAUUCCUGGUGUAGCGGUGAAAUGCGUAGAUAUCAGGAGGAACACCGGUGGUGUAAACGGCUUUCUGGACCAUAACUGACGCUGAGGCACGAAAGCGUGGGUAGCAAACAGG
rnacentral:rRNA from 1 species